GCCACCAGGGAAGCCCUCAGAAAAAUUCUCUGAAGGCAAGAAUACAGUCGUUACCUCUUCAUUGUUACCCACGGAACCAAACACAGUGCCUCAAACCCAAUCCAAUUAAUAUUUGCAGAUUGAACCAUCAGUUUCCUUAAAGUUUUGGACAGUGGGCUGGAGAGUGAUGAGCAGAGGUGAGAGCAAACACAGAGGAGAACAACAGAAGAGAGUGCCUGGGUCUGAGGAUGGCUUCCAUACAUGGUCUGUGGAUUGAUUGUUUAGGCCACGACAUCUGUUCCCGGUGAAUUGUGAAGGAAACAAGGAUCCAUGACUGCAGGAUGCUUUGUGGCCACUUGGCUCUAAUGCAGACCCAGCCACACGGAACGAUCGUCAUGUAUGGAUGUGAAAACUGGACUAUAAGGAAAGCUGAGCACCGAAGAAUUGAUGCUUUUGAACUGUGGUGUUGGAGAAGACUCUUGAGAGUCCCGUGGACUGCAAGGAGAUCCAACCAGUCCAUCCUAAAGGAGAUCAGUCCUGGGUGUUCAUUGGAAAGACUGAUGCUGAAGCUGAAACUUCAAUCCUUUGGCCACCUCAUGUGAAGAGUUGACUCAUUGGAAAAGACCCUGAUGCUGGGAAGGAUUGGGGGCAGGAGGAGAAGGGGAUGACAGAGGAUGAGAUGGCUAGAUGGCAUCACCGACUCGAUGGACAUUAGUUUGAGUAAUCUCCAGGAGUUGGUGAUGGACAGGGAGGCCUGGCGUGCUGCGAUUCAUGAGGUCGCAAAGAGUUGGACAUGACUGAGCAACUGAACUGACUGAACUGAACUUGGGAUGCCAGCAUCCUGGACUUGCCUUACACCCACAUCUGUGCCUUUUAAUUCCCAAGGUUGGUACCAGGCUUUUCCAAGGGAUCCUUUCCUUUUGAUGCAUAGUACAAAUUCUCCUUAAGAUGCUGGCCAGUCAAUGGCCAUGUCUGGGCUGAAUAUCUGAAGUUAGCCAGUGCCUACAAAUUUUGUAAUUUGAAGUGUUAGUGGUUUUCCUAUUACAUUGUGUCUUAGCACAUUUAAUCCUCAUAGCAAGCUUAUGAGAUAAGUACCCUUAUCACCCUCAUUUUACAGAUGAGAAAACAAAGAUGGGAAGGAAUGACGUUUUCCUGGGAGAUGAAGGUCUCUGGGCUGGUGAAGGGCAGAGCUAAGCUCUGGUUCUA